ACCCGAUAUGGUCAUGUGCGGCGAUCACUCGUCAUUCACGAAGACCGAGCUAAACAUGAAGGAGAAGCCCGACGAGGACAAAAGGCCCGCUCUGCAGGGCAGAAUAUCGCCCACGCGCUGGGCAGCUUCCGCUGGCCGCCCUACCUGCUGGCCGUGUGGGUGCUGGUGCUGGUGCUCACGCACGCGCUGCACUGCCUGGUCUCCGUGCUGGACCGCGCGCUGCCCAACCUCAA